rnacentral:rRNA from 1 species
GACGUAGGGCGCGAGCGUUGUCCGGAUUUAUUGGGCGUAAAGAGCUCGUAGGCGGCUUGUCGCGUCGUCCGUGAAAACCCACAGCUCAACUGUGGGCUUGCGGUCGAUACGGGCAGGCUAGAGUUCGGUAGGGGAGAAUGGAAUUCCUGGUGUAGCGGUGAAAUGCGCAGAUAUCAGGAAGAACACCCGUGGCGAAGGCGGUGCUCUGGGCCGAUACUGACGCUGAGGAGCGAAAGCGUGGGGAGCGAACAGG